rnacentral:rRNA from 1 species
AGCGAACGCUGGCGGCAGGCCUAACACAUGCAAGUCGAACGAACCUUUCGGGGUUAGUGGCGGACGGGUGAGUAACACGUGGGAACGUGCCUUUAGGUUCGGAAUAACUCAGGGAAACUUGUGCUAAUACCGAAUGUGCCCUUCGGGGGAAAGAUUAAUCGCCUUUAGAGCGGCCCGCGUCUGAUUAGCUAGUUGGUUGAGGUAAUGGCUCACCAAGGCGACGAUCAGUAGCUGGUCUGAGAGGAUGAUCAGCCACAUUGGGACUGAGACACGGCCCAAACUCCUACGGGAAGCAGCAGUGGGGAAUCUUGCGCAAUGGGCGAAAGCCUGACGCAGCCAUGCCGCGUGAAUGAUGAAGGUCUUAGGAUUGUAAAAUUCUUUCACCGGGGACGAUAAUGACGGUACCCGGAGAAGAAGCCACGGCUAACUUCGUG